UAACAAUCAAACUUAUAUGUGAGUAAAGAUCUCAAUCCAUUUUGCAUUUUUACAGUUAAAAUUCCUUAUUAGAAUAUUUAAGUAAUUUUGUACAAGUUUAUUUUUAUUCUGCAAGAGUAAACAAUAUUUAUCUCAAGGGUAGACCUCGGUAUAGAGAUACGGUCAUCCCUAGAAUUCUACUGUACAUGUUCUGACAGUAAAACACUAUAUAAAUUGGGCAUUUUAUUUGUCUGUAUUGUUGAAAGUUGAAAUUAUAUUUUGGCUGUGCGGUUGAAAGUUGAUGUGUAUAUUUUGGUUGUGUGGUUGAAAGUUGAAAUUAUUUUUUUACAACUGGGCUAUUAACUAUGGAUUCAUUAUUUUUCAUUGGGUAUUAGGUGAACAAUGCAUUAAAGUUUUCAACUAAAUAUAAUUGUUCUGUAAAAGAGACAGAAGUUGCUGAAACCAUAAACUGAAUGUCCACAAAGAUGCCACAUUCCGUGAUCCACUAAAAUUGAUGAUCCACAGUAGAUUGUAACAGAUUCUUAUUUAACCAAAAAACUUAAUUUCUAAUCAAUCUUUAGAAAGCUUCUCUGUCAAAUCAAAUACAAUUGAACCCUUAAUAGUAAAUGAGUAGCCUCUUAUGUCAAAUAGACUUCAAGAGUUACAGUUAGUUUUACAUAAAUGUAUAGAUUUUUAACUAAGAAAGAAAAAAAUAUAUAACAUUGCAUAUUCUGUCUUUAGACUUUGUGAGUUAAUUUGUGAAAA
rnacentral:lncRNA from 1 species